GAUCCUUCUCAGUGUUAGUGCCAUUUUGUGCCAAGCUCCCAUGGAAAACUCUGGAUUUGGAAGCACCUUCUGGAGAGCAUCCCACUUGCCUGUCCACUCUCCAUCACUAUGCCUGGAGAGCUGGGGUUUCCUCCUCUGGGCGGAGCUUCAUCAUACUGCCUAUUGUCCGCACCUGAUGGUGAUUUGGUUGCCAGUACUUAAAACCAACGCACUCAACGAGUCUUCGCCAGAUCAUCUACUAACCUUCUAAUCCUUCGCCUCAUCGUUUCAUGCUCACGACAAUACUCACGCUCACCUGGGCGCAUGUCUUCUCGGCACUCCACAGCCACAAUUUGUGCUUUGUCUGUUCCCAACUUCGCCUGCCUUCCUCCCUGCCACUGCAACUUGGAUUCUCUGGGUCACCCAUCUGGACUCACUGGUUACUGCCUCACCCACACCAUCCUCUACCUCCUAACCAGUAAGACACAGAAGUUAACAGAACUCACUUACCUGACAAACCGCUGGCACUCUC